rnacentral:lncRNA from 1 species
GGUAAACAAAUACCCUGCUGGCCCAUGAAGGCCAUUUUCUUGCUAGCCAUUCAAGGAGGGGGAUGUUCUGGCUUUACGAUAGAUUUAGGGGAGCAAGCCGGUGACCACUGCGCCCUCCAGUGAUCUCUGAUGAUAUGCGGGGAUAAUGGGUUACAAAGACAGACAUUAAUAAGAAGAGCACUGCAUUUGUUUAGCAAUUGGGUUUACAGGCAUUCCAAAGACCCCUCUCCAGCCCCAGAGACAAAUGUGAUUACUGUAAGACAAUUGUGGGUAGUGUAUAAGAAGCCUUUGGGAAAUGUCUCCCUUGAAAUACAUAAAGAGAAGCAUGAGAGGAACGCCUUCUUCUUUGCUGGAUGUCAUGUCUGCAUGUACCAUCUGGAAUUGCUACAGCCAACUUGCAAAUAUAAAGGAGGGCUUUGUUAACCUGCUGAGCACAGCAGAGUGGAAAGAUGCAGAGCACCUGCUCCUGGGAACUGACCACCUUCAGACUUCUUGCCACAUAAGGUAUCACAUUUUUCUUGUGGUUUUAAGCCACUUUUCACUGGAUUUUCUGUUACUUGCAACUGAAGGCAUCUCCA